rnacentral:rRNA from 1 species
UAAUUAGUUUGAGGUUUGACCUGCCCUAUGAAUAUUAAAUGGCCGCGGUAUUUUGACCGUGCGAAGGUAGCAUAAUCAUUAGUUUUUUAAUUGAAAGCUUGUAUGAAUGGUUUGACGAGAUAAGAACUGUCUCUAAAUAAAAAUUAUAAUUUUAUUUUUGGGUAAAAAAGCUUAAAUUUUUUUAAAAGACGAGAAGACCCUAUAAAUCUUUAUAUUUUUAUUUUAAAUAAUUUUAGUUUUUUUUUUAAUUAUUUUUAUUAAAAAGUAUUUAAUUGGGGAAAUUUAAUGAUUUAUAAAAUUCAUUAUUAUUUUUAUUCAUUUAUAUAUGUGUAAUUGAUCCUUUAUUAAAGAUUAUAAGAUUAAGUUACUUUAGGGAUAACAGCGUAAUUUUUCUGGAGAGUUCAUAUCUAUAGAAGAGAUUGCGACCUCGAUGUUGGAUUAAAAUUAAUUUUGGGUGCAGAAUUUCACAAAAUUUGGUCUGUUCGACCAUUAAAAUUUUACGU